rnacentral:rRNA from 1 species
GUGGGGAAUCUUAGACAAUGGGGGAAACCCUGAUCUAGCCAUGCCGCGUGAGCGAUGAAGGCCUUAGGGUUGUAAAGCUCUUUCAGCUGGGAAGAUAAUGACGGUACCAGCAGAAGAAUCCCCGGCUAACUCCGUGCCAGAAGCCGCGGUAAUACGGAGGGGGCUAGAGUUGUUCGGAAUUACUGGGCGUAAAGUGCGCGUAGGCGGACCAGAAAGUUGGAGGUGAAAUCCCAGGUCUCAACCUUGGAACUUCCUUCAAAACUCCUGGUCUGGAGUUCGAGAGAAGUGAGUGGGAUUCCGAGUGUAGAGUUGAAAUUCGUAGAUAUUCGGAGGAACACCAUUGGCGAAGGCGGCUCACUGGCUCGAUAAUGACGCUGAGGUGCGAAAGCGUGGGGAGCAAACAGGAUUAGAAACCCCUGUAGUCC